GGUGGUUCUCCGGUGAUGCACCCAGGAAUCAAGCUCUGUCCUCUCUGGUUCCGGGUGCGUCCCCUGAGAACCACA
rfam:Myotis lucifugus cont2.45444, whole genome shotgun sequence.